rnacentral:misc_RNA from 1 species
GACAGUCUCUGAGAAAUCAUUAUCGUCAGAAGGUGAGUCUCCAUCUGCACUCGUGAUGGAUGACAGAGCAGACUUGCUGGGAUCUAGGUCAGGCAAACUAAGUGACCUGUCUACAGGGUCGAAGUCCAUAUCAAAAGAGAGGUCGUUGAAUUUGAACCUGUUUGUAGAGUUUGGAUACUGAUCUGGAUCAGGGAAAACAAUCUCAUUCUCAAAUUUGAAACCAGAGGUUCCAGAGAAACGAGAAUCCGUUCCCAUCUUAAAACCCUAACCCUAACAAAUGAAAAUCCAAAUUUGAACUGAUUGCUCUCCACUAACUCAACUAUGAGCU